GCCGUCUCAACGGGGUGCAAAAUGCGGCGUGCCGAUUUUGCUGAGAACAAACCCGUCGAACCUGAUCCGGUCAAUACCGGCGGAGGGAUUUGAGCCCAGCGAACCG
rnacentral:ncRNA from 2 species